UGAGACCCCAGCUCAAAGACGACACACGGAGAAGGGAGCCAAGCAGCACUGACCGAUGUGGGCAGCGUUAUUGCCGACCAGGAAUUUGUCCCUGGACUUCCCCUCCGCACUGCUCCAUGCUCACCUUCCUCUUCUCGGGGGUCUCCACCAGCUGCCAGCUGUUGGCCUUGAGGUGGUAGAGUUCAUCGAACUUCAUGCUGAUAUCCUCGAUGGACAGCUGUAGCAGGUCCCAGAACCCUGCCAGGUCCUGGGCUGUGGGGCGUGGGUUGGCAUCAGGGUUCUGUGGGCCAGAUGGGGAUCAGUGGGGCCAGCUCAGCAGAGGCUUGUCCUGCUCCCCCCAACCCCCCAACAAGCAGGGUUCCUCUGGGCCCUGCCAGCACCCGCGGGGGCUCUUGAGGCCUAGUGUCUGGGGAAGAAACAGAAGUUCUUGGCCAUGGUGUGACAGUGACACCGAGAGAAGCCCGAUUCACUCCCAGGUUUCUGCUCACAGGUCACCUGGCCAGGGAUGCCCUCCCUGACCACCCUGAAUGCAACAGCAACACCGACCCUGCCUGUGCAGUGGACACUAUACUGCUCUUACCCUUCCUGGUUAU
rnacentral:lncRNA from 1 species